ncrna:unclassified sequences RAGATH-18 RNA
CCUUUGGAGAGCUAUAUAAACAAGAGUAGUAAUUAUAAAUUAUGAAAUUGGGUUCAUUGAAUAAGGAA